GGGUAACGGGGAAUAAGGGUUCGAUUCCGGAGAGGGAGCCUGAGAAACGGCUACCACAUCCAAGGAAGGCAGCAGGCGCGCAAAUUACCCAAUCCCGACACGGGGAGGUAGUGACAAUAAAUAACAAUAUAGGGCUCUUUCGGGUCUUAUAAUUGGAAUGAGUACAAUUUAAAUCCCUUAACGAGGAACAAUUGGAGGGCAAGUCUGGUGCCAGCAGCCGCGGUAAUUCCAGCUCCAAUAGCGUAUAUUAAAGUUGUUGCAGUUAAAAAGCUCGUAGUUGAAUUUCGGGGUUAGUAGGUUGGUCAUGCCUCUGGUAUGCACUGGCCUCACUGAUUCCUCCUUCCUGAUGAGCCGUAAUGCCAUUAAUUUGGUGUUGCGGGGAAUUUGGACUGUUACUUUGAAAAAAUUAGAGUGUUUAAAGCAAGCUAACGCUUGAAUACAUUAGCAUGGAAUAAUGAAAUAGGACGUUCGAUCCUGUUUUGUUGGUUUCUAGGAUUGACGUAAUGAUUAAUAGGGAUAGUUGGGGGCAUUAGUAUUCAAUUGUCAGAGGUGAAAUUCUUGGAUUUAUUGAAGACUAACGACUGCGAAAGCAUUUGCCAAGGAUGUUUUCAUUAAUCAAGAACGAAAGUUAGGGGAUCGAAGACGAUCAGAUACC
rnacentral:rRNA from 1 species